UGACCCGUGGUGUAAUUGGCAACACGUCUGGUUUUGGUCCAGAAGAGUCCAGGUUCGAGCCCUGGCGGGUCAACCA
rnacentral:tRNA from 2 species